GACGAAGGGGGCUAGCGUUGUUCGGAAUUACUGGGCGUAAAGCGCGUGUAGGCGGUUGCCCAAGUCGGGUGUGAAAGCCUUGAGCUCAACUCAAGAAAUGCACUCGGUACUGGGUGACUAGAGGACCGGAGAGGAUAGUGGAAUUCCCAGUGUAGUGGUGAAAUACGUAGAGAUUGGGAAGAACACCAGUGGCGAAGGCGGCUAUCUGGACGGUUUCUGACGCUAAGACGCGAAAGCGUGGGAGCAACAGG
rnacentral:rRNA from 1 species